UACGUAGGGUGCGAGCGUUGUCCGGAAUUACUGGGCGUAAAGAGCUCGUAGGUGGUUUGUUGCGUUGUUCGUGAAAACUCACAGCUCAACUGUGGGCGUGCGGGCGAUACGGGCAGACUAGAGUACUGCAGGGGAGACUGGAAUUCCUGGUGUAGCGGUGAAAUGCGCAGAUAUCAGGAGGAACACCGGUGGCGAAGGCGGGUCUCUGGGCCGAAACUGACGCUGAGGAGCGAAAGCGUGGGGAGCAAACAGG
rnacentral:rRNA from 1 species